CUUCGUGGUGGGCGUUUUGGAC
rnacentral:siRNA from 1 species